rnacentral:rRNA from 1 species
GACGAACGCUGGCGGCGUGCCUAAUACAUGCAAGUAGAACGCUGAAGCUUGGUGCUUGCACCGAGCGGAUGAGUUGCGAACGGGUGAGUAACGCGUAGGUAACCUGCCUGGUAGCGGGGGAUAACUAUUGGAAACGAUAGCUAAUACCGCAUAACAGUAGAUAUCGCAUGAUAGCUACUUGAAAGGUGCAAAUGCACCACUACCAGAUGGACCUGCGUUGUAUUAGCUAGUUGGUGAGGUAACGGCGCACCAAGGCAACGAUACAUAGCCGACCUGAGAGGGUGGUCGGCCACACUGGGACUGAGACACGGCCCAGACUCCUACGGGAGGCAGCAGUAGGGAAUCUUCGGCAAGGAACGGAAGUCUGACCGAGCAACGCCGCGUGAGUGAAGAAGGUUUUCGGAUCGUAAAGCUCUGUUGUAAGAGAAGAACGAGUGUGAGAGUGGAAAGUUCACACUGUGACGGUAACUUACCAGAAAGGGACGGCUAACUACGUG